UACCCGGUAGUGUAAUGGUAGCACAACAGGUUUUGGUCCUGUUUGUCGAGGUUCGAGUCCUCGCCGGGUAG
rnacentral:tRNA from 2 species